GGCAGUUCUUUUCCUUCAUAAAUUAUCAGAUUUACAAAGAAAUAUUAACAAAAUAAAUCUAAAAUCUGUGUCAUUUUCAAAAGAUACCUUAGACAAGAGCACCAGAAAUGUCCUUAUAUUAUUACUGUUCCACACUACACUCUCAGAAAUAAAGGUACAGUGAGGGUACAAUUAAGUACUUUAAGGUACAAAUUUCACAAAUGUGCCAGCAAAGGAACAAACAUGUAUCCAGCUGAGUACCAAAAAGUACCUUUCCAAAGAAAAGGGGUACACAAUGAAAUAUGCAUGGUGAAAGGUACAUAUAUGUACCCUUUGAAAAGGUACAUUGUCAUAUAAAGUAAUAGUUAAGGUACAACAUUCACAAAUGUACCAUUAAAGGUCCUAUCGUGUUCCCAUGGGGUACUUAGAAGUACCUUUUGGGUACACAUCCUGUAGGGUACAAAAAAGUACCUUAUUCAAGUCAAAGGGUACACUUCCUGUGGGGUACUAAGAAGUACUUUUCAAGUUACAGGGUACACAAUCCUCUGGGGUAGCAGCUGCCUUUUCUAAGACUGAUAGAGCCUUUGUCAUAAUUUGUAAAUGUGGUAUGCUGAAUAAUCCUUUGUGAUAAGUGCAUAAUUAUUAUCACUAUCAGUUUUCGUAAGUAUUUUCAUUUGUUUCUGCUAAGGAAUUAUUUACAGAUUUAUACUCGAUUUUUAUAAUUAUUAUCAUUAUCGUUUUCAUUUAAAUAAUUGUUGCAUAUAUUUUGGGUUCUAUAAUAAGCACUAUUGGUUCAAAUUAAUUCAAUAUAUAUUAUUAUAGUUAAGAUGGAUGUGUGUGCUUGUUUGUGCGGGCGUGGGCGCGGCAUUGCGCGCAUUUAGAGAAGGAGUUCUCGCGAUACGUUUCAUUCAAGAAAAAGCAACGCUGAUGAUCGCGUCGCUUAAACUUCUUGAUUAAUGUCAUCCUUUACAGGUCAGCGGUCACGCCUCUUUCUUUCACUCGGCACGGCGGCAGUCGCUGGAGCCUGCAGGACGCGUGACAGCUCAACAAUGGCCCUGCCAACUUUAUCCUCAGAUGAGCUGAUCCAAACAUGACAGAAGGUGGUGUAACUAUGACAGAAGUUGAAGCACAGAAAUUCAGAGGUGAGUAAUACUGUCGUUAGCUAACGUAAAUUUACAUAUAAGUGACACUUGCGGCCCGCUGAUUAAAGAUGGCUGCACGUUAUCUCCAGUUAGAUCGAAAUAACAUUAUAUCGGGACUUAAUUGUAAGUUACCACUAACGUUAGUUACAUGUAGCUAGUUGUAAAGAUUGUAAAGAAAAAAGCAUGACGUUAGCUGACCUUAGCUAGCUUAGAGAUGGCUACAGCUAUCGUUAGCUAGCUCGAGUUCCUCGUACAGCCAACGUACUCAACUGCAAAGUUGAUUUAAAGUUAAGUUGGUGCCCAAAUAGUGCUGCAGCUAUGUAGAUAAUCAAUUAUAUAAGUGUUUAGUGUAUGGGUAUUGUAUAUUUAUAAGUUGAUGUUCAAUUCCAUUUGUGCACGCGGAACACAGUUUAACGUUAGAAGAUGGCGGCUAUGUUGUGUACGUUAGAAUAGACUAGUUGCACGUGGCCGCCAUUUUGGAUUUUGGACCAGCGAGUGUACGGUUAGACACUUCCGGUUUCUCAUUACGUCCUGUGCAGGGAGCCGGAGAAAGCCGAAAUGUAUCUUUUAUAGUUGUUUAUAGAAUCAAUUAUCAAUUAAAAUACUACUAAGAUCCGUAUUACUAUCACACAAGCGUAUGGCAAUUAAAUGCACGGAUGCAUAGUCAGAUUAAUGAAUGAAAUACCACUGUUCACGAACAGAAGAUUGUAUUUGACUCAUGCUGCAUACACAUACGCAAUGACAAUUAUGCCUACUGUAAAUAUAGAGUUACAACUACAAUUAGAGUUGUUUGCAUAAAAUGCACUGUGAACAUUCACAUGUUUGCCCCAUGUCUUCUUUGCUGUAUUCUUCAGGGUGAACACAACACACCAUACCCAAUUGUCCAGGUGACCCAAGAAGACUGGAAGUCCACAUUUGAGGGACGAAGCUCCUGUUCCCUGAAGGUAGACAGGGUCGAGGUGUGUGAAGGCAUGAAGGUAGAGAAAGCCAUGAUCUCCUCGUUUUAUUCAUAUUUUGUUUUCAAUCUUGAAUACCAACCCAAAAACAAGAACACUCUGACCUUCCUCCAGCGAUGCAUUGCGAAAAUGCCAUCCAAGAUAACCAUGUCUUUCUUUCCUCAGUGGGAGAGAAAUUGUUUUUUGAGGAAAACAUUUCUGGAU
ensembl:lncRNA